CCUUCGAUAGCUCAGUUGGUAGAGCGGUGGACUGUAGAGGUUGGUAGAGAGAGCUUAUUCAGCGGGCAUCCAUAGGUCGCUGGUUCAAAUCCGGCUCGAAGGA
rnacentral:tRNA from 1 species